rnacentral:rRNA from 1 species
CAGCCGCCGCGGUAAUACGUAGGGUGCGAGCGUUAAUCGGAAUUACUGGGCGUAAAGCGUGCGCAGGCGGUUUUGUAAGACAGGCGUGAAAUCCCCGGGCUCAACCUGGGAAUGGCGCUUGUGACUGCAAAGCUAGAGUGCGGCAGAGGGGGAUGGAAUUCCGCGUGUAGCAGUGAAAUGCGUAGAUAUGCGGAGGAACACCGAUGGCGAAGGCAAUCCCCUGGGCCUGCACUGACGCUCAUGCACGAAAGCGUGGGGAGCAAACAGGAUUAGAUACCCCCGUAGUCCCUGUCUCUUAUAC